rnacentral:rRNA from 1 species
GAGAACGGGGGGCCGGGUGCCGGGCUAAUACGGAGGGGGGUAGGGUUGUUGGGAAUGACUGGGCGGAAAGCGCACGUAGGCGGACAUUGAAGGCUGGGGUGAAAGCCUUGGGCUCAACCCAAGAAUUGCCUUCGAUACUGGAUGUCUUGAGGCCGGGAGAGGUGAGUGGAAUUCCGAGUGUAGAGGUGAAAUUCGUAGAUAUUCGGAAGAACACCAGUGGCGAAGGCGGCUCACUGGCCCGGUUCUGACGCUGAGGUGCGAAAGCGUGGGGAGCAAACAGGAUUAGAUACCCGUGUAGUC